AGUGUCUUAAGAUCCCUGACCUGACCAUCAGAAGGUAUACAUGGACUUCACACCAAGGAUAUGCUGUUGAAAUGUAGUCAACUCUUUGUGGAUUCAGUGGAGGCUGUUGGUCUAAAAACAAGACUGAGACUAUAGGAAUAAUAAAAGGACAACUACAUCAAAGUACUUGAAACCAGCCAUGAUGCAGUUCUAAGGAGUCUUAGUUUUCUUGUGCAUGUUGGAUGUUUCUGUAAACAGCAACAUGAACUUGAAGAAUCACAGAAUUAUAGGGGUUGGAAGAGACCUCUGGAGAUCAUCUGGUCCAAACUCUCUAGUAAAGGAGGCUCUCUAUGGGAGUUAACAGGAACAAACCUCCUCAUAUUGCUGAUGCAGAAUCUACAUGCAAGAUGAUAAUCGGAUAUUAGAUUCUGAUAGUAUGUAUUGUGUGAGAAAAGAAAACCUCAAAUCAUUUUGUUAUUCUCCUCUCUGCUGUUAGCUUAUUGUGUGAUACAGAACUCUUGGGAUGACAUUUUUCCACUAUUAUAUUAUAUGCUAAACUUUCUAUCAGUGCACCUAGGAAUUAGCUUUGGGUUGGUUUUUUUUCUGUCUUCCAAAUGUGUGUGUGCAUACUCACAGGUUUUUAAGACAUUUAAGAAUGCUAACUAUUAUUUCCUCUGAAAACAACAUACAAACAGAACUUAGUUGUUAUACUAGGUCCAUAAUACCAGGCAUUAAACUUUGGACAGUCCCUGACCUUUUGAUUUCAAGUUGAUUUGUAUAAGUCUUUGGUAAAGUUUAAUCAACAUCAAGUAACAAUCUUUAUGUAUAAAUAAACCUGACAACACUC